ACCUGAGAAUUAAAAACCGACUUAAAAAGUUGGCCUCCGCCCUGGAGGAAGACAAAGAGCCCCCUCCAUCUCUCAUGCUUCCUUGUGUGAACCGAAUUUCAUACAUUGCUCAACAAAUCGAUACCCAUGAACUCAGUCUGCAGAGUCCCUACUGGCAAGAAGCUGUCACCGGGUGCGGCCUCUUGACCUUGGACUUCUCAGCCUCCUUAACGGCCAUGAUGACAGUCAGACUAAAACUCUUCUCUGAAACUAAACUUCUCCUGCACCCUAGCAAUGUUGAGACCCAAGGCUACAAGAAACUGAACUGAGGUCCUGUGCUCAGAGGCUUGUUGCUAUUUUUCUCUGCGCCUGAUUCUGAAAAGUGUCUGUGCAGGUCUGAGAGACUGAUCAGCAACUAUCAAAAGAGAAAGAAAGAAGUGGAUGGGAAUAAGCUGUGAUGCCAGCUAUUGAGAUUCUUAUCUUACCAUUUCAUCCAAAGCCUCAGGCGGGAGUUUUCAAAGGGCUUCAGACAUCUUGUUAAUUUUUUGCCCAGUAGCUUUUUCAGAAACGGGAGAACCAGGGCAAAGAUUACCAAGCAGGUGAUGACAAACAAAGCCAGUGCCCUCUGGAAAUUCAAGAUGCAAGCUGCCAGGAAAUAGGCAGCAUAGGCUAAAAAAGAGAAGACACAGAAUAAGGAUCAGCAAGGUAGCACUUCCAAUGCGCAAAUGAAACUCCAGUCAUGAUUGUCUGGGAUUACAGUGAGAAAAACCCUCUGGAGACCUUGCCAUCCAGCCUUACUGUCAGACGGAGCUGCACUUCUCCAGGCCAAGAUAGAUGUCUUCUAACUGUCCUCUUCUUGAGGAUUCCCAAGGACAAUCUGACUUAGUGCAAAGACUGCUUAUUUUCACCGGUCCCUAAUUAAAUCUCAUUUCCUUUUAUUUUAUCUAAUAUCAUUUCUCUGUCCCUUGGAGUAAAUUUGAUCAGUGUCCACCAUUAGACUCUUCAGAAGUCAGUCAUCUCCCCUUGAAACUUUAUUACCCCUGUCACUUUAACCUUCCUCUUGAAUAAACCAUGUAAACAAGGCUACCGCUAGGAAGCACAGCCAUGUGGACCUCAUCCCAUGACUCCCUUACUCAUCUCAAAAUAUAAUUUUUGUUCCCACCACCCCAGCUACCUCCUAUUUUGACAGCAAAGCCUCAUAUACCACUGAUAGUAUGUUUUAAACAGAGCUUUGCUGUCUUUUAAAAAUAUUUUAUAUCAUUGAUCUUACUAGUAAACCAGCAAAUAAGUAACAUAUAAUACAGACUUCUUUCAUAAAGGCUACAAGAAUCAUGCACUCCACCAAAUCAAGACACUCAAAAAAGGAUAAGCCCACAUUCUCUGAAAUAUUUUAAAUUUAUCAAAUAUUACAGUUUUGAAAAAUAAUUUAUUCUCAGAUUUUACUUGUUCCUGUAAGUGUAAUUCAAUAAAUUAUAGUUCACCUACAAGUAGUUAAAAUCAAUACAUCAAAUAGCUUUUUAGAUCGGUUGUGAAUAAAAGUGCCUUCCACCUUGUAAUCACUUUGACACAAGGCAAAUUUCUAAAAUAAUGUGUUUCUCGCUUUCAUGCAUUCUCAAUAUCUCACCCAAACACAACAGGCCCAACAGGAUCUUCUUGAACAAUCUGGUGUGUGUUUUGCAGAAACUUGUUGCUUUGGUGAAAGGCCACUGACUCCUCCUAAUAAGAACCCAAAAGUUAAGAUACAAGAAUUACUCCAUCCCAUUUCUAUUUGGCUUUCAGAAUUCAGAUUAUGAAACACAAGGCAGAAUUAGCUCUUAGUCAAUAAAGAAUUUUCUUCAGGGGUAGGUAGUGUCCCACGAUGCCAAAAAGGGCAAAUCAAACCUUGCCAGUGGGCAGGAGGUCAGAAUACCCUACUCAGCCUGGACUAGCAAUAUCCUUGGUAGUCACCUAUCAUAGAAGUGGGCAUUGUUCAUGUCAGGAGUCUACUCCUUUCCCAUUUUGAAAGGACAGGGAAUUGCUAAGCUUCCAUUUUCCCAGGAGGGUCUAUUCUUCUUAGAGGCAAUUUGGCCAUUCCUCCCUAAUAACCACACAAAUUUAUGGCCUUGGACAGUCUGCCAGACAUGCAUUGACAGGAAGGAAAAUGCCACCAACUUCAAGAAUCUCUCUGGGUGGGCAGGCCCAAGAAGAGGCCAAGCAAGUUGGGAUAUUCAAGUUUGAUUUCAGAAACAUGUAUAUAGUACUUUCUCUAUGCUGAGCUCUUUCUAAGAACUUGGCAAGUACUAACUCAUUGACUCAUCUUAAGACCCCUGGAGCUGUUGCUAUUAAACGUUCCAUUUUACAGGUGUGGAAACCGAAAAACAGAGAAGUUAAAUAACUUUCUCAAAGUCACAGAGGCUGUAAGAAGCAGACACAGAAUCUACACUCCAGCUAUCUGGCUUCAACAUCUGAGCUCUUAACCAUCAUCCUAUGCCGUGUCUUCCCUAAACUCCAGGCUUGCCUGUCUUUGCCACUCUUAAGUAUGCUCAGCAUGCUAUAGCCAUCUGAGCAAAAAGCUCUAAUUUCCAAAAUCUUGGAAGUUCCCAAGAUGGUGAUCCCAGCAAGAAGGUCCCAGUCUGGCAGUCAUGCUGUGGCAGGGCACUUAGCCAGGGUUAGAGCCAGCCACUAACUCCUAAUGCUCUGGGGCCAAAGCCCAUAGAGUUCCAUGGCUGCCUCUCCCAAUUAAAACACUCCCAGUUUCUAGCCUUCCUUUUCAUUCCUUCCCCCAUCCCCUCCUGCCCCUUCUGCAGUGAGCCCAACCCUGUGUUAGCUGAGCAGAUUGUGUACUUUGAAAUACAGGUAAGCUAAGAAAGGAGAAAACAGUGCUUAUCACCAUCUGACUGGAUCAAUUCAAGAUGAUUCUUUAGGAUCUCAAGAACUCUGCUUUGCUUUGCUUUGCUUUAAGAGACAAGGUCUCACUGUUGCCCAGGCUGGACUGCAGUGGCAUGGCAUGAUCAUGGCUCACUGCAACCUUGAAUUCCCAGUCUCAAGUGAUCCUCCUGCCUCAGCCUCCCUAGUAGCUGGGACACCACCAAGCCCAGAUAAUUUUCUUUUUUAAUUUUUGUAGAGGUGAGGUCUUGCUAUGUUCCUAAGGCUGGUCUCAAACUCCUGGGCUCGUGAUCCUCAUUUUUCCAUGCUUAAUAGAAAAGUAGUGAGUAAAAGGGGCAGAGUACCUGAGGACAUCAUUAUCUUUGGGACAUUGUUUGCAAAGUACAUCAAGGAAUGAAUUUAAUUUCAAUCCUGUCCUUUCCAUAUGUGACAGAUAUCUUUGGUGUGCUCCUCCAGCACCACUCUCCACCCCACUCUGUGCCCUGAGAAUUGAACUCAUGUGAACUACAUCAAUGCACUCCUAUUCCCUCUGGCUUACCAAGUUGGGUUCUGCUACUGGGACCUUCACAGGAGAUCAGAGCAUAUGAAAAGACUGAGAUCAGUGUAUUGAAGAGGUCUUUUUAUCUGACUUUCCUGCCAGGUGCUCUUAUAUCUUAUUCCUUCAGGCCUAGGAAUAGUAACUGCUCACUGCUUCAAGACUUAGGUUCUUGCACUAUCCUUUCUUAUGGUUCCACCACUCGUCAUACAUAUCCUUGUCAUGGUCUCUUUGUAAAUAAAUUGUCCUCUAAUUAUCCUAAUUUAAGUAUGCCAUCUGUUUCCUAUUGUGACCUAAACUAAUGUACUACAUAAAGCUGGUUUAAAAUUAUAUGCAGUAGAAUACCUCCUGCAAAAUAAGCAAACCUCCUGCAAAAUAAGAGGGCAGCGUGGACUAGUCCAAGAUAUAAAUCACAUACCUAGAAAAGAUUUCUGCCAUCACCUCCUGACCAAAACUCAGCAUUUUCUGGGAACAAAAGUUCAGUGAGUACUACAGAAAAUCAGUUAAGAACACUCAUUUCUGCAAAACCCAUUAACAACCUGGUCCUAGAAUAUCAGGUUGGAAUUGAGCCUCAGGGUUAAAAAAUAAAAAUUAAAAAUAGGCUGGGUGCAUUGGCUCAUGCCUGUAAUCCCAGGACUUUGGGAGGCUGAAGUGGAGGGAUCACCUGAGGUUAAGAGUUCCAGACCAGCCUGGUCAACAUGGCAAAACCCUGUCUCUACUAAAAAUACAAGAAUUAGCCAGGUGUGGUGGUGGAUACCUGUAGUCCCAGAUACUCUGGAGCCUGAGACAGGAGAAUUGCUUGAAACUGGGGGGCAGAGGUUGCAGUGAGCCGAGAUCUUGUCACUGCACUCCAGCCUGAGUGAGAGAACAAGACUCCAUCUCAAAUAAUAAUAGUAAUAACUCAUAAAUUAAAAAUAAAAUCCAUAAGAAACUUUCUAAAAGAAAAAGAAAACAAGCUUUCUCAUCUUUUUAAACCAAUUGAGAAACAAUUCAUAGAGGCAUCUGGGCCCUGGUAUCUUGCUUGGCACAGAAUCUUGCUAAUCCUACCAAGUUCUUAAUAUAAUGGUACAAUUCAUGUAUUAGUAGCUGUGUUAUAUCAGGAAGCUGAAUUGAGAAGAAAUCUGAUAGGUGGUAAAACUUGAUACUUUGCCCAUAACCCACUAAUUAGUUCUCCAGCUAUGUAUGAGAUAUUUCCAAGAAUGGACUAAUCAUGACCCUCUCAUGUACGUGCUUGUUUCCUGCAGCUCCCAGUGACAAGGGGAGCAUGAGUAGGUAAGGGUGGUGGAUAGUGCCAACUGAGCAUAACUUUUGUGGGCACUAUAGGUCAUAGCAAGGGUGUUCAUGCAUUCCUAGGAGAUCAGGCAUUCUUAGUCACAGUAUGAAAUCGGCGGUUGACAGGAUGGGUAUCACAACAUACAGGUAAUAAAGACACUGCUGACAAAGCAGGAUGUGGAAAAGAAGUCAGCUAAAACCCACCAGAAUCAAAAUGGUGAUGAAAGUGACCUCUGGUUGUCCUCAUUGCUCAUUAUAUGCUAAUUAUAAUACCAUUAGCAUGCUAAGAGACACUCCCACCAGUGCCAUGAAAGGAGGUUUACAAAUACCAUGGCAAUGUCCAGAAGUUACCUUAUAUGGUCUAAAAGGAAGAUGAGCCCUCACUUCCAGAAGCCCCCCCCACCUCUUUCCCAGAAAACUCAUGAAUAAUUCACCCCUCGUUUAGCAUAUAAUCAAGAAAUAACCAUAAAAAUAGCCAAUCAGCAGCCCUCGGAGCUGCUCUGCCUAUGGAGUAGCCUUCUUUUGUUUCUUUACUUCUCUAGUAAACUUGCUUUCACUUUACUUUGUGGACUUGCCCCUAUUUCUUUCUUGUGCAAGAUCCAAGAACCCUCUAUUGGGGUCUGGAUUGGUAUCCCUUUCCAGUAACAACCCUGUCUACAAGAUGUGGAAACUCUCUCAACUAAGGGAGACAGAGCUAUGGGAACUCCCAGAGUCUAGGGUACUACCAGUUAGCAGUUAGAAUGGAAAACUUGGGACAGCCUUCAGAGAAUCUAGCUCUGGUGUCUUGCUGUGGCUCAUUGUGGCCCUGGGGGAAUCCUUGAUGCUCUAGCUUGAAGCAAGGACUGAAGAAAGGAAAUGAAUCACCCAGAACCAAAGGGUAGUAUAAGUAAAGAGUGAGGACCUCCAGGCAGAAGUGACCAGAAUAGUUUUAAGUGGUUAAGAGUUUUAUUUUGAUGAUGGCAUAAAAAGAAUUGGUCAGUGGGUACUAUAGUAGGUACCACUUUGCCAGAUUCAAAGUUAUGUAUACAACUGAUUUUGAACCAGAGUAGAGCUGGGUGGUGUUGUAUAGGGACCAGAAAAUAAUUACCAAAAGUGUGAAGAGGAGAAUGGUGACUGAGUCUGAGAAGCAGAAGGUUAUCCAUAGCCAAGGUGGAAAGCCAAAUAGGGGUUGGUUGGAAAGCCAGGGAAGGCAAGAGAAAGGCCUGUCACGUGGAAGCCAGCAAACUUGUAUUGCAGACAGAGGCUCUGCACAGCUGGGGAUGGCCAGUUCUGAGAGCCCUCAGCCCAGGUAGAGUGAGGAAGGAGCCUAAACCAGAACACAGCCAGAUGCUUCACUGCUGAGCUGUAGUCGAUAUGUUGCCUUGGAAAAGAAAGCUCCCUUCACAUAAUACCCACAUCUCUGCUUGAUGUGCCCAUCUCCGACAAUAGCAAAUGUCAGCUCUCCUUUACACUAACUGUGGGGGCACAAUGCCAAAGAUCCACAAAGACAGGAAGGACCUGCAUGGCGGGGUUUUCCUUCAAGCCACACUCAACUUCCUUCCAGAACUCUUAUCUCUCCAAGUUAGAGGUAGCAGUGAUUCCAACAGGCAGCGGAGUCUUUGUAGAGAAGGCGCUCUCUCUCAUGAGGGGAUCAUGACUCCACCUCCAGUGACCUUUGGAGACCAGGCCCUUCAGUUCUGCUUACAAGCAGAAGUUUCUUCGGGUUUUUAGUAUAUGGUGAAGGAAAUAAAAUUAUUUUACCCCAAAAAUAUAUUUCUCUAAUACAUUUUGAGAUGGCUGUUCAGAGAGCCAGUAAACAGAAGUAGCUCGCAAAGCUGUCUUUUGUGGGAGAGGUUUGCAUCUGUAGAGAAUCUGCACUGAAGCAGCCAGGUCUUCGCUUCUCUGGAUCUAGGGAAGACUCACUGAGUCUGACACCUUUGAAGGUCUGAAAGACACCUUUAGCAUCAUCUGUUCUCUCUGAUGGCUUCUACCUGAGAGGCUUCAUUUACAUAAGAAAACCUCUUUGCUAGCCAAGCCUCCUCUUCUCUCCUUUCCAUAACCUCUGGCAUUAAAACCUGAUUUACCACCAUAACUUGUUUGUGGCCAUGCUCUGAGCCUGCCUUUUUUCUGUAACAUCAAGAUAGUAUAUAAUCUUCUGUGCCCCAUUGGGGGUUGGGUAGUCACUCUAUGAUUCUCCCCAUAUAUAUGUUAAUACAUUUUGUAUGCCUUUUUUUUUCAAUUAGUCUGACUUUUGUGAGUUGAUUUUUCAGCAAACCUUCAGAGGGCAAAAGGGAAGAUUUCCCUUGGUCCCUACAAUGAUUAAUGCGCAUCAAGGACUUCCUGUGAUGAUACCAUUUGCUCCUCUUUAUACAUUCUUUCAAUCACCUCAAUAGGAAUUUGAGGAUAGGAGCACUAGCUUCUUCAUCCGCUGAUAUUGCUCAGGCAAUAAUGAAAAAAAUGGUCGGGGGAGGGGCUCUUCCAGCAGGGACAGGCUGUCUAAAAUUUUUCACUUGGGACUUGCACUGGUAUACAACACAGACCUCCCACCAAGGAAUUUGAAUGGUUUAUACUACUGUCCUAUCUGGACAUCCCUACCCCUCCCUGCCAGCCUUACCACCUUUCAAGCAAGAAGUCAGAACACUCACGCUUCUAGGGCAGGCAGAAGAGACAGCAGAGCUGGGAGGAACAGGUGGAGAAGGAAGGGAAGAGCCAAAGAGAGAAACAAUCUUUAAGGAGGAGGAAAACUCAGUGAUAUUCAAUGAUGGAGAAAAUCAGGUGGCCUGACAGAUGAGAAGACACUAGAUUUGGUAAUGAAGAGGUGAUGGGUUGUGUAUGACAGAACUGUUUACAGGAGAAUGAUGGAGUGAAAGCUGAAUUGCAGGGGUUAAGGAGUUAGCGUGAGCACAUAUGGACGGCUCUUUGCCUAGAAAGGAAGGAAGAAGCAGAUACUGCUUAUUGGGCAGCUUUUACCAGGUACUGCAAAAGGUGUACUCAUCAGUCAUCUUCCCCAAAUACAAUAGGGUUAAGUUACAAGUUUAUAAGCAAGGAAACAGCCUGCCAGGGACGUGACUGCCAUGAGGGACUCAGAAUGACUGAUAACAUUCAUCAAAAGAGAGACUCCAGAAGGAACAGCAGACCUGGGAGGAAAUUUGAGUUUAUUCACUUUUGUGUGCCUCAAGCCUAGCCCAGUGCUCAACACAGUAGGAAAACAUCAAACCAUGCUGAUAGGAGUUUGGCUAGGGAUAUGUUUAAUUUGAAGUAUAUAUGUGACAUUUAGCUGUAGAUAUUUAGCAAAUCAUUAGCUUUGUGGUCCUGAAGCUUAGAACCAAAGUGCAGGCUUCAGAUACAACUGUAAAACAAGAGUGCAUGGCUUCAGACAUGGCCUUCAAGACACUGAGUGUAGGAAUAAGAAGAGAACACUAAAGACAGAGCCCUGGAAAAUAAGAAACAAGAAAGCACCAAGACAUCGAGUGUAAGUGUCAUUAAAAUCAGUAAAUGAGUUUCAAGAAAGAGUUAGAAGGAUCAUGUUGCAGAGAUGCCCAGUGAAAGUCUGUGUACAUUGGACUUGAUAAGUAGGUUUCGUUUGCCACUUAGUGAGAACAUUGUAUUUGAGCAGUGGUGGAGAAAACAAGAUUGCACUGGGCUAAGAAGUGAAUGGCAGGUGAGAAAAUGGAAGAAGCAAGUAAAUCUCACUUUUUUAAGAAACUUGGCCAUGAAGGAAAAUGUUAUUACAAAGUUGAGGGUGAAAACUGAGGCUCAGAGAGGGUAAAUAACUUGCCCAGAAUCUGGAAAAGCUUGCUAACCCCUUCUCUUACUCCUCAUUAGGCUCCUGACGCAAUUUCAUCUUCUGAUCUUUCACCUGGAGGCCAGAGUCCACAGGCUGAGUUCUCAAGAACCUUUCCAGGUGGUGGGUCUGCUGACUGUGGCAUUAAAAACUGGAAGGCGGCCUGUGAGAAGAUAGAAUGCAAUGAUUGCUGUCACCUCCUUGCUUCACUCUUCUCCACCUCAGCAAGCAGUUUCAACCCAGUCCUUUCCAUGAGAAAUCACUGUCCGGAGUGAACGAGGGAACCUUGGGUGAAAUGGGGUCAAGGGGAGGUGGGGCCAUGAUAGAGGCAGGCUCUGUCCUGAGGGAGAACAGCACAGAUGAAUAAGAAACCAGCAGAGAGUGUCUCCAGAGCCAAAGCCCCACCUCUUUUCCCUUGGCUCUCUCCUCAGUCUUCCUCUCUCCAGAUUGAUCAAAACCUAUCCUGAAGAAAGGAUUUAAUUCAAGCCUCACCUGUAGCACCAAAAAAUAAAAAAACAAGGAUUGGAUUGGCUGCGUCAUUGGAAACCAAAGUCAGAAAGUAGCCCACAUAGGGGCCAGAUGCGGUGGCUCACGCCUAUAGUCCCAGCACUUUGGGAGGCCAAGGUGGGCAGAUCACCUGAGGUCAUGAGUUCAAGACCAGCCUGGCCAACACGAUGAAACCCCAUCUCUACUAAAAAUAUAAAAAUUAGCUGGGUGUCGUGGUACGCACCUAUAGUCCCAGUUACUUGAGAGGGUGAGACAGGAGAAUUGCUUGAACCCGGGAGGCGGAGGUUGCAGUGAGCAGAGAUUGCACCACUGCACUACAGACUGGGCAACAGAGUGAGACUCCAUUUAAAAAAAAAAAAAUGAGAAAAACAAAAAAACCUAGAAAAUAGCCCAUGUGGUUCCUGUACUCUGUUAAAAGCAGCAGUCCCCAGCCUUUUUGGCACCAGAGAUUGGUUUUGUGGAAGACAUUUUUUUCCAUGGUUUUGGGAUGAUAUAAGCACAUUUUAUUUAUUGUGCACUUUAUUUCUAUUAUUACAUUGUAAUAUAUAAUGAAAUAAUUAUACAAUUCACCAUAAUUUAUAAUCAGUGGGAUUCGGAGCUUGUUUUCCUGCAACUAGACAAUCCCAUUUUGGGGGGUGAUGGGAGACAGUGACAGAUCAUCAGGCAUUAGAUUCUUGUAAGGAGCGUGCAAUCUAGAUCCCUCGCAUGCAUAGUUCACAAUAGGAUUCAUGCUCCUGUGAGAAUCUAAUGCUGCCACUGAUGUCACUGGAGGUGCAGCCCAGGAGGUAAAGCAAGCAAAAAGGAACGGCUGUAGAUACAGAUGUAGCUUCACUCACUUGCCUGCUGCUCAUCACCUGCUGUGUGGCCAGUACCGGUCUGUGGCCCCAAGGAUGGGGACCUGUGUUAAAGGGCUUUUAAGAAUCAGUGAGCAAGUGAGGGAAAUAGAGCAUCUUGUUCAGGACUGUUUCCUGACUCCUUAAAAUGUGUAAAAUAAAUAAAUUUCAGAGGCCAGCUACUCCUCCUCAGGACUCUAAAAUCACACCCCCUAUUGGCCCAGGCUGUGGGCCAGUGGGCCACAGUGAGUUAGACAGAACUUCUGAGCAAAGGGUAUUCAUGUGCUGAAAAAUGUGAGGACUGGACUGGCAUGGUGGCUCAUGUCUAUAAUCCCAGCACUUUGGGAGGUCGAGGCAGGAGGAUUGCUUGAGCACAGGAGUUCAAGACAAGCUUGGGCAACAUAGGGAGACCCUGUCACUACCAAAAAUUUAAAAAAUUUUAAAAACCAGGCAUGGCAGUGCACAGAAGUUGAGGUGAGAGGAUCACUUGAGCUUGGAAGUUUGAGGCUGCAGUGAGCUGUUAUUUUUGCCACUGCACUCCAGCCUAGGCAACACAGUGAGACCCUGUCUCAAAAAAAAAAAAAAAAAUUUAAGCCUCUGAGGACUAAACCCAGAUUUUUUAUCUUGCUCAAAUUCCUACCUAAAGGGUCUAGGGAGUCAUGCCCUACAAACCAUAAAUUCUCAUCAGAUGGGUUUUAUUGGACCCUAUGUAUUGUGACUUACUUUUCAGUCUGACUCUGGCAUAACAUUAUGAAACAAGGAAAAAAUAUUUAACUCCUAAAUGUAUUUCCUUGCCAUACCUUGAAAUUGCCCCACAAAGUCUCUUGUGGGAAAAAUUCACAUCCUUUCGAAAAUCCCCUAUCCCCUUUGUUUUCCUUCCUUUCUUUCCAGAUCCAGGAGAUAAGCUAAGAGCCAGGUGCCAUUUAAGGUCUAAUAAGAAGCAUCUUACAACCUGCUCUCUCUCUGAAGUCCGCUCUCUGAGAGAUUGCUCUGCACAAUAGAACUUGGUCUCCACAAUCCUUUAUCUUAACCUGAACAUUCCUUUCCGUUGAUCCCAGGUCUUCAGAUAAACUCAACUAACUGUCAACCAGAAAAUGUUUAAAUGUAUCUAUAGUCUGGAAGCCCCCCUACCCUUGACCUUGUCCUGCCUUUCUAUACCAAACCAUAGUAUUCUGAAAUGUAUUUGAUUGAUGUCUCAUGUCUCCCUAAAAUAUACAAAAUCAACCUAUACCCCGACCACCUUGGGAACAUGUUUUCAUCACCUCCUGAGGGCUGUGUCACAGGCCAUGGUCACUCAUAUUUGGCUCAGAAUAAAUCUCUUCAACUAUUUUACAGAGUUUGACUCUUUUCACCGACACCUGUAUGGGCUCUUGGCUAAGGAAUGUGUGAAGUGAACACUAAAUACUAUAUCAUGUUCCCAGAGGCUCCCUCUCUGCUCCUAGCAGAGAUUUAUAAGCCUCACUUAUAAACCUCCAAUCCAGGUCCCAGAACGGUAGAAUACAACUCCACCAUUGGAAAGCAUGACACCCUUUUCUGGGCCACAGAGCAAGGGGUCUAGAUUAAGUCUUCCCCGCUGCUGUGGACUGAAUUGUGUCCCCUUCCCCAUAAAAAUUUAUAUGUUGAAGUCCUAACCUCCUAUGUGACUUUAUUUGGAUUAAUAAAGCAAUUAAUGUUAAAUGAGGUCAUCAGGUUAGAACCCUAAUCAGAUAGGAUUAGUCUCUUUAUAAGAAGAAACACCAGGCCCAACCCAGAAACUUUGGGAGGCCAAGGCAGGCAGAUAGCCUGAGCUCAGGAGUUUGUGACCAGCCUGGACAACACGGUGAAACCCAGUCUCUACUAAAAUACAAAAAAAAAAAAGCCUGGUGUGGUGGCAUGUGACUGUAGUCCCACCUACUCAGGACACUGAGGCAGGAGAAUUGCUUGAACCCGGAAGGAGGUUGCAGUGAGCCAAGAUCAAGCCACUGCAUUCCAGCCUGGGUGACAGACUCGUCAAAAUAAAAAAAGAAAAAGAAAGAAAAAGAAGCAACACCAGAGAGCUUGCUCACUCUAGCGCCCUCUGCCCUUUGAGGACACAGGGAGAAGGUGACAGUCUCCAAGCCAAGACGAGAGCCCUCACCGGAAACUGAAUUGGCUGGCCCCUUUAUCUUCGACUUCCAGCCUCCAGAACUGUGAGAUAACAAAUUUUUGUUAUUUAAGUCACCCAGUCUGUGGUAUCUUGUUUCAGCAGCCCAAACAGACUGAGUCAUCUGCCUAUUCUCUAGUAUCUCAACAUUUAUAUUUGGAGGGCUCAACUGAACAGACACACCUUCUAGGCCCACUUGUUCUCAGGCCAGAUUUCUUCCUGUUAUAUAUCUUUAUUCAACACAAAUGGACCCAACACUGCUUUCUCCCACGUGCCAUUGCUCCUUUGCCAUGAUUUGGAUAUUGUAUCACAAAUGAGACAGUCUGUGUGACAAGAAUGCUUGGAAGAUCCAGGUACACUACAGGGCCCUGAAAGUAGCAGAGAAUCUUCUUUUGUGACCUGUCUCAGUCUCAGGGUCUCAUCAUAAAAGAGGUUAGCUUGGCCGGAUGCGGUGGCUCACGCCUAUAAUCCCAGCACCUUGGGAGGCCAAGGCGGGUGGAUCACAAGGUCAAGAGAUUGAGAUCAUCCUGGUCAACAAGGUGAAACCCCGUCUCUACUAAAAAAAAAUACAAAAAUUAACUGGUGGUGGUGCACGCUUGUAGUCCCAGCUACAAGCUGAGGCAGGAGAAUUGCUUGAACCCAGAAGGCGGAGGCUGAGGCAGGAGAAUUGCUUGAACCCAGAAGGCGGAGGUUGCGGGGAGCAGAGAUCGUGCCAUUGCACUCCAGUCUGGGUAACAACAGUGAAACACCGUCUCAAAAAAAAAAUAGAGGUUAGCUUAAGAGACCUCCAUUAAAAUGAUCAGGUUAUUUUGGGGUGGCAGUAUAAUAUUUUUUAACACUGUUCUACAAAUUAGCAGGUUAGCUGGCUCCCUCUGAGGAGAGUUAGAUAAAGAGAUUUUAUUUAAUGAGGGGAAAGAAGAUUCACAAACCCUGGGUAGGAAAGUUUAGGGACCAGAGUUGGCCUCUACCCAUAGACUGUAACGCUGAUAUCAAAAAACCAGACUGACUGACUUGACAGUUUUUUCAUAUUUUCCAGAAGAUAGAAAACGACAAUGAAGUACUUGAUGCUGAUACAGCACAGGCCUUGGCAAAGGUUAAUAAACAAUUGUAAAGCAGUUGACAUAAAACCUUAAAUGAUUAACUGGUUAUCUUGGAAUUUACGGAGCAAUGCCCCAGGGAUAUGAGACCUGAUUAGUUAAGUUACAUAUGUGUGAGCUGGGGCCAGGAUGGGGAGAGUGGCAGAAAGAAGUGUUCACGGGAGGGUGCCUUAUUAGAAUUGGGCAGAAGAAGGUGGGGGUGGUGGGGAGUGAGCAGACAAAAGAGGCUGGAGAACUCUGUUGAUUGACAACUGUGCCUAUAUUGGUGCCAUGUGUUGGGGUAGCCGAGGUGCUGGACAUUAAUCACAAAGACUGCCCUUUCCAAACUGGUAUAUAACCAACUGCUUAGGAGAAGGGGCUAGAAAAAGCCCAUUGGAAACAAAAGGGUCUUUGCUGGACAUUGUUAUGAAGUGUUAUCAGAUUUGUUCAAUCUUAACCUUCUGACUCAUUAAAAUGUUGAGCCUUCAGAAAUGUUUAAAGUCAUUGUCUGUUGUGCUGAAUCACAAGAUGGCUCUGUUGUCUAGUGGCUCAACCUGUAUCACCUUGGUGAUUUCCAGGAAGGGAGGCCACCAAAUCACGCAGCAUAGUCUCAACAGCUUUUUCUUUAGAUCCCACUGAAAAUGGCUGGGGUUUCCUCUGCCAAAAAUAGCUAUUUAUAUAUAUCUGAAUAAUUUAUGACUGUGGUUUAUAUUUAAAUAAAGCACUUCGAUGAAUUUCUUUCUUUUCUAAGAGUCAUGAAUUCUGCCCUGUGGCUGAGAGCCAAGCAAGCUAAAGGUAAUAUAAAAUGACACUGGCAAUAUGUACAAGGACAGAGAUUACAGAAGCCUCUGUUAAAUAAUCAAAAAUCCCAACUUCUUUUUGGGCAUGUGGUUGUGCGCUGUUGAAGCAGAAAUGACAUGCUUGGUAAAGUGAGAGCCAAUUUCUCCUUCUUGAGCAUGGAGCCAAGGCUGGGGCUAGGUUUACAAACACAACACAAAAGUGGUGGCAGGACCUCCUACCUUGGUUGUGGUGUGAUGCUGUGAAGAGUUUUGCAGUGAUCAGUUGCUUGUUGUCUCUUGUAACCAUAUUGUUUAGGGUGACAUUAUUUAUAUAACCUUGAUUACAGGAAGUAAAGAUUAAGAGAACUAUAAAAUGUUUAGGGAUUCAUCCAAUCCAACCCCUUUAUUUUACAGAUGGGGAAACUGAGGCCCAGAGAAGGAUGUGAUUUGAUGUGCCUGUAGUGGGUUAAAUAAUGGCCCUCCAAAAGAGAUGUUCAAUUUUUAAUACCUGGAAACUUAAACACUAUCUUAUUUGGAAAAAGAGUCUUAGAAGAUAUAAUUAAGCUAAGGGGCUCAUGAUAAGAUCAUCCUGGAUUUAGGGCAAACUCUACAUCCAAUGGCAGGUGUCCUUGUAAGAGAAAGGCAGAGGGAUGUUGAAGAGAAAAAGUGAUGUCAAAAUGAAAGUAGAGAUGGAAUUAGGUAACCACAGGCAAGGAAUGCUUGGAGCCACCAGAAGCUGAAAGAGGCAAAAAGGAGAGAACCUUUGGAGGGAGCAUGACUCUACCAGCACCUUGAUAUCAGAUUUCUAGCUUCCAGAAUGAUGAGAGAAAAAAAUUUCUUCUGUUUUAAGCUAUAUGUUGAUGGUAAUUUGUUAUAGCUGCCCUAGGAAACUAACAUAAUGGACAAAGGAUACAGCCAUGCUAGAACCCAAAUCUCUGGACUCCCUGUCUUUUGUUUCCCUGCCUCUGUUUCACAUGCUCUGAGUUCUGAUCUUGUCAAAGAUGUAAAAAGCAUUCACACUCCUUGCUGUUAAGAACAUAACUUCUGAGAUGAAGGCAAUAAAGAAUAUUGCAAAUA